AUGGACCAAAUCAUCAUCCUGCAUGGCUACAGCUAAUAGGGAUGCACCCCGAUUGAACAUGAAAUGGCGUGGACAGAUACCAUGAAGCAUAAUCUGCAUUUCAGUUCCUUCAAUUACUUUACCAGUAACAGGAUCAAGACGAGCUGCCCACAAUGAAUCACACUGACCAUGAUUGAGAUAACGAUUUGAAGCAACAAGAAAAGGACCAUCAUGAACCACGGCAACCUCGGCUGCACUUGGGGGUUGAGGAAACUUCGGAUCCUUUUCAAGAGUCAUGCUGGGGGGAAGGGUGGAGACAUCUUGCAAGCAUUCAAAGGUGUUGGUGUCGUAAACGAGGAUUCGAUUUGCCAGUUCACAAAUUAAAUAACAAACUGGAAGAGUUUUGUGAAAAACUAUGUGUCUUGGUCCGUAUCCAGCAGGAACAUUUACAACAACGACUGGAUCAGAAGACGUAUCCUCUGCGUCGAAAAUACUGAAGCGAUCCAAACCCAAAUCGACCGAACACACUAAAUGCUUAUGAGCGGUAACUUGAUGAGGAUGAGAGCUUGUUUGACGUUCUGGAUGUAAAGAUUUCCCCUCAUGAUGCCAAACGUGCGGCUUCUCAUCCUUUGCCUUACUACGACUAAUAGAAGCACUAUUAUAGUUCGCUGUAAGCACACUACCAUUUUCUAAGACACAUAGACUUGUCGGACUAUGGCCAUCUAUAGUAAACCGGUCUACAAGGGAAAACUUCCCAUUGUCCCAUUCGAAUACAGCAACAUAGCCCUCCUCAAUUUCAUUAGCGACAUAGAGUCGCUUACUUUUCUUUUCCCAUUCAACCCAUGUGGGACUAGACACACCCUCUAGCUUCUCAGUAAUGGAUUUAGUCUCCAUGUCAAAGACCAAAACUGGUCCAUCAGUGCAAGUUCCAAUAACUAAUUUCAUCGUUGAAUUUCUAAGUUAAAGAAUAAAAACAAUGGAUAUAAGGUCAGACUCUGUGCUGUUC